AGGUUUACGUAAGAGUUCAAAGAGGCCAUUUAAAUCAACAUUUUACUUUUUAAUUUUACAGUCCUGCCUUCUUGUCUCUGUCGCUGAGAAAGCCAAAGAAAAUUUCUUAUUAUUUGCUAUCUCUGCCUCUUGCAAUGGAAUGCAUAACAGUUGGCUUUUUGAUCAUGACCUACUAGCAAUUUAUGAACACCUAAAGACUAACAACAGGUAGAUUCCUAAUCGCUGCUCCAUUUAUUGAAAAAUAGAUCUUUCCCCGAAGAUCUGAAAUUCCAGCUCUGCGAUAAAGCACGUUCCACUGACUAUGGGUAGAUGUGGUCAGCAACUUGAUUGGGAUCCGCUCAUGGAUUGCUUUAUGGUUCAGAAGUUCUGGAAAUGGAUGCAGAGGAAAUGUCAGACCACAGGUACAAAUAAAAAAUAAAAGCAACAUCUAUUAAGGACAAACAAAUAAAAUAAAUUGAAAAAUGUUACCACUGCAAUUUGCAGCGCCUAUAAAAGUAAACUAUUGAAUCUGUCUCUAAGAUGGAAGCUACCAAAGGCUGAUCUUUUAUAGGAAUGAGCAGGAGACAUUUUUUAUGGAUGUCAUUGUGACUUAUACUUGCAUCCAUUUUUACCUGAGAAUAAUGUUGAGAGAAAGAAAUUAUGUAUGAGACUAGAAACAUUUAAAUUUCUGGUAGAGGUUUCUAUAAAGCAGAUUUCAUAAAGUAUAA